rnacentral:rRNA from 1 species
UACGGAAGGCAGCAGGUGGGGAAUAUUGCACAAUGGGCGAAAGCCUGAUGCAGCUAUGCCGCGUGUAUGAAGAAGGCCUUAGGGUUGUAAAGUACUUUCAUCGGGGAGGAAAAAACAAAACUAAUAAUUUUAUUUCUUGACGUUACCCGAAAAAGAAGCACCGGCUAACUCCGUGCCAGCAGCCGCGGUAAUACGGAGGGUGCUAGCGUUAAUCAGAAUUACUGGGCGUAAAGAGCACGUAGGUGGUUUUUUAAGUCAGAUGUGAAAUCCCUGGGCUUAACCUAGGAACUGCAUUUUGAAACUGAAAUACUAGAGUAUCGUAGAGGGAGGUAGAAUUCUAGGUGUAGCGGUGAAAUGCGUAGAUAUCUGGAGGAAUACCUGUGGCGAAAGCGGCCUCCUAAACGAAUACUGACACUGAGGUGCGAAAGCGUGGGGAGCAAACAGGGAUUAGAUA